rnacentral:RNase_P_RNA from 1 species
CAGUUGGAUAAACGCCGUAUGAAAGACUACGGAGGAAAGUCCGGGCAUCAUAAGGCAGAGUGCCGGCUAGUUACCGGUGGAGGCGACUCCAAGGAAAGUGCAACAGAAAUAAACCGCCCGCAAGGGUAAGGAUGGAAAGGCGAGGUAAGAGCUCACCGCUCCUGCGGCAACGCGGGAGGCCCUGUAAACCCCACUCGAUGCAAGAGACAAGGACGAAUCGGUCGCCUGCCGCGUCCCUCAAUCGCUUAAGCCCUGCGGCAACGCUUGGCUCAGAUAGAUGUUUAUCCUCGACAGAACCCGGCUUACAGACUGC